AUACGUAGGUGGCAAGCGUUGUCCGGAAUUAUUGGGCGUAAAGGGUGCGUAGGCGGUCUUUUAAGUGGGAUGUGAAAUCCCUGGGCUUAACUCAGGAUGUGCAUUCCAAACUGGAAGACUAGAGUGCAGGAGAGGAAAGUGGAAUUCCCAGUGUAGCGGUGAAAUGCGUAGAGAUUGGGAGGAACACCAGUGGCGAAGGCGACUUUCUGGACUGUAACUGACGCUGAGGCACGAAAGCGUGGGGAGCAAACAGGAUUAGAUACCCUGGUAGUCCACGCUGUAAACUAUGAGUACUAGGUGUAGGGGGCGAAGCCCUCUGUGCCGCAGUUAACACAAUAAGUACUCCGCCUGGGAAGUACGAUCGCAAGAUUAAA
rnacentral:rRNA from 1 species